AUGGACACCACAACACCGACGACCGAGAAGAUGCCGUCGCCUAGCCUCAUCGAACGGGUCCGCCGUCACGCAAUCUCCGGCGGCAUCUUAGGCUCCGCCGUGUACUUCUCCCAGGGCGCCACCAAGUCGCCGAGCGGGAGCCGCCUCUUCGGCGGGGCUCUGGCGGUCCCGAGGAACGUGCUCAGGAUCGGCAGCUUUGCGGCCUGGUAUGGCGCCGCCAAGUCGGUCAGGUGCGCCGUGGCCCCAGACUACCCCUUUGAAACCACGGUCGCCUGGGGCGCCACCAACGCCCUAUUCGCCAUGCGCCACGGGAGGCGCGCGGCCUGCCGAUCCGGGCUCAGAGGUGCGGCCCUAGGCGUGGUCGCCGACAUGGCCCAGUAUGGCGUAAAACGCUUCCUUGCCUCACGGCGGUCACGGGCAGAGGAGCGCCGCAUAGCCCGUGAGUCGGCUGCUUGCCCGGCUGGGAUUCCCGCCGACACAUGUCAUGCUUGA
rnacentral:rRNA from 1 species